AAACUUUUUCGAAAGAAAAAAAUCUGUUCUUAUCAGUUUAAUAUCUGAUACGUCCCCAUCCGGGGACUACAUAUUAAAUGGAUUUUAGCACGGAGCUGGAGCCGGGCUUGCUCCGUCCACUCCAUGCAUGCGGCCUGGUAUUGCAGUGUCUCCAGGAAGGCACAGAAAUUU
rnacentral:snRNA from 1 species